CCUCCCACCUCAGCCUCUUGAGCCCAGCCUAAAAAAAUAUUUCUAUAAUUAAAAAGACAGGCCAGGCACGGUGGCUCACGCCUGUAAUCCCAGCACUUUAGGAGGCCGAGGCAGGCAGACCACUUGAGGCCAGGAGUUCGGUACCAGCCUGGGCAACAUGGCAAAACCCUGUCUCUACAAAAAAUACAAAAACUACAAAAACUAGCUGGGCAUGGUGGCGUGCGCCUGUAGCCCCACUACUCAAGAGGCUGAGGUGAAAAGAUAGUUUGAGCCCAGGGGCAGAAGUUGUAGUGAGCUAUGACUGAGCCACUGCACGCCAGCCUGGGUAACAGAGAGAGACUCUGUCUCCAAAAAAAAGAAAGAAAGAAAAAAUAAUUAGCUGGGCAUGGUGGCAAACAGUUACUCAGGAGGCUGAGGCAGGAGGAUCACUUGAGCCUGGGAGGUCAAGGCUGCAGUGAGCCGUGAUUGCACCACUACACUCCAGCCUGGGCAAUAGAGCAAGACUGCCUCAAAAAACAAAACAAAACAACAAAAACAGAAGCCAUUCAUACAUUGAAUUUUAGGGACCCCCUAGAUCCCCCUGAAGUCUGCUUAUCUAGCCAGGUAAGCCAGAACAGAGUGGUAGAAAAAGGCUAUCAAUGAAGAGAAACACAAUAAAAAUAUUACCUAGGUUUAUAGGUCAUUGAAGAGUUCAGAAGACACUUUCCCAAGCAUUAUCCUGGCAACAACUCUGUAAGGUCACAGAGCUAGAGGCAGGGUGCAGUGACUUGCCUGAGGUCACGAGCUAGCCCAUGGCAGGGCAGAAAGCGCUUGAAGUUUCUGAGGCCAAGCCCAGUGCUCUUCGUAUUUCCCAUCUUGCUUCCCAGGAGGUUCCAUGCAGAUCCUGUGGGAAUGGGCGUUUCUGCCCUUAUUCCCCUGUGCAUUCUUCACGAGUGGUUGGAUUUCCAUGGACUUCAUUCUGCCAAAGACUCAUGUGCUGAAUCAUAUGGAACUGCUGACCUUCCAAUAAACCAGCAUGAUUUGCUAAGGCGUAGAGCCAGGCUGAGAAGGAAGAGGACUCAGGCCAGACUGGUGGGUUGGAAUCCUAGCUGUGCAGCCGAGCAGCUUGAGCACGUUACUCAACCUCCACCCAAUGUACGAAAAGCACAUAGUCCAGUUCCAAGGACAUGAUAAAAGUUCAGUAAGUGAUGCAGGCUUUCAUUUUUAUUGAGUCUUCUCUUGCUUUCUCUGGGACUGUAGCAUUUUAAAAACCCUACCAACAAGAGGUUGAUUCACGUCAACUUCAUUUUCUUCUCUCCAAGAAAAAAAGUCACAAACACAGAAACAAAGUCAAUGCCUUGUCCGUGUGUGCUCAUGGGCUUAAUGAGUCACCUGGUUGUGCACAGAUCCACAUGCUGGAAUAAUCAAUCCCACCCCUGAAGCCAAGCUUACAAUUUAAGAAAAAAUUAAUAAAUGCCACUCAUCUUUCUAAUCUCUUCUCACAUGUGACUGACAAUCAUCAGUCAGCAUUGCUUGUACAAGUUACUGUUCUUUAAAGCUGGGGCAGGUGGGCCAAACGCCAAAAUUACCUAAACAGCUUGAACUCCUGGUGUUUUCCUCCAAGCCAGUGAAAUGGGAAUAAAAUCUGCUAUCAAGGGCUCCCCCUACAGGCACCAAAAAGCAAAGGCUAAAAAUUAAGGUGGGUGCCAUUUACGCCUAGUAGAGAAUUGUUUCUUCUCUUGAAAAAGUUUCUAAGGCAGUCCUGAAACCACAACUUUGCUUGUUGACACAAUCCCUUUUCCAAAACUCUGGCCAAAGAGUCUUAAAAAUCUAAAGGACCAAGAAUCAAGCAACCUCUUCCUCUUGAUGUACUCACCUCCCACUUAAUAAAGGACCAAAUGUGAUUUUGAUACAAAUAGGACACAAAACGACCCUAGAGCUGUAACACUAUUUUUGACAGUCAUAAUUAUGGCACUUUUGAGUUUUCUUGUAGCUCAUUUCCAUCUCAUUUUUAGGAUUAGUGUGUAUUUGUGUGUGUGUGUACAUGCGUGUGUGUACAUGCACGCACCAAAACAACUUCAAUUCCGGACAUAAAAUCAAUGACAGUUUUAAAACCACUUGAUGGAAGGUUUGAGGGAACUUUUAUCAUUUAUUUAUUUUGUGCUACAAAUCAGGUAUAUUUAAUUCUCUGGGUUCGUGGAAUGAGCUUGGAUGGUUGCCUGCUCUCAAAGGCUAAAAAAAAAAAAAGCUUGGAUGGAUAAAUAAAGUUUCCAAGACAUAAAGAAACAGACAGACAGACAGCUUGUUUCAAAUUUGUGCUUCUAUUUCUCUCUGAGGGAUGGAAGUUCACCAACCAGAGAUGCACAUUUCCUCACAAAGGACACUUGAAGUUGUGCCCACAGAGGCAAAUGCUCAUAUGGAGACUCAAGAAAGCCUGGGGUUCAGAAGAGGCUUGAGAUCAUGUUAUGAGAAACAGCUGAAGAAAACGGGGGUGCUCAGCCUAGGGAAGACCAAGGGGUGGUAUGACAGGCUAACUUGGGAGGGCAACCAGCCUGGGUAUAUACCUCAUUUAGGCAGGGCCUGGAAAGGCCAGAUAGUGGGAACAUUGAAGAGACUCAGGAACUGGCAGAAAACUGAGCCAGAUUAUAUUUAACAUCCUUUUUAUUAUUUUUGUGGGUUUUUUUUGAGACAGGGUCUCACUCUGUCGCCCAGGCUGGAGUGCAGUGGCACGAUCUCGGCUCACUGCAACCUCUGCCUCCCAGGUUCAAGCGAUUCUCCUGCCUUAGCCUCCCGAGUAGCUGGGAUUACAGGCAUGCGCCAUUACCACCCAGCUAAUUUUUGUAUUUUAAGUAGAGGUAGGGUUUCACCAUGUUGGCCAGGCUGAUCACGAACUCCUGACGUCAAAUGAUCCACCCGCCUCCGCCUCCCAGAGUGCUGGGAUUACAGGCAUGAGCCACUGCGCCCAGCCUAAAAUCCUUCUUAGCUCUAAAAUCCUGAGACUGUAUAAUAAAACCCCAAACAAUUUAAUAGUCCUCUUGUUAUAAGGCCGUUGGUUACCAUCCCCCAGAGUCAUUGUUAACAUAUUAAACAAAACAUUUUGUGCUUCAAGCCCUGAUGAAGCUUCAAAAUAACUUUUCAAAAGAAAAAACAACAAAAUCAAACUAAAGUGUAGGCUCUACCAGUGUCAACUUCCUACCUUUAACGUUUACUAUAGUUAUGUAAGAUGGAACCAACCACUGGAAGAAGUUAAAUGAAAAGCUGGGUGAAGGGUACACAGGACCUCUACUAUUUCUGCAAUUUCCUGUGAACCUCUGAUUAUUUCAAAAUAAAAAGCUUUAAAAAAUCAAAUUAGCCCAGGCACAGUGGCUCAUGCCUGUAAUCCCAGCACUUUGGGAGGCUGAGGAGGGAGGGUUGCUUGGUACCAGGAGUUCAAGACCAGCCUGGGCAAUGAGGCGAGACCCUUGUCUCUACAAAAAAAUUUAAAAAUAGUGGGGCAUGGUGGCAUGAGCCUGUAGACCCAGCUACUCAGGAAGGUGAGGUGGGAGGAUCCCUUGAGCCUGGGAGGUUAAGGCUGCAGUGAGCUAUGAUCAGGCUACUGCACUCCAGCCUGGGCAAAAGCAUGAGACUCAUCUCUAAAAAAAAAAUCAAAAACCAAAAAUCAAAUUAAAGAUACCUCCCCAAGAAGUUCUAAGUAACAUCAAAGGCAAUUACAAAUCAGUUUGGUUUAGGAGUACAGUGUCAUCAGCCACAAAUGACUCUGCACAAGUAUCCACAGGCAGCAGAACUCAUUUCAAAACUAUUCAAGACUAUUUCAAUCAGCUCAUUUCGAUCAGCUAUUAAGAUUUACAAUCAUGAUUAGGAAAGCAUGUAUCAUGUUGACAGGUGUCUAAUUUGGUUAUGUUGAUCAUAAAUCCUCAGUUAUCUGGGAGCACAUCAUUAAAAUCACCUAUAGGCAAUACAUUCUUACAACUGUUUCCUAUGUGGUACUACAGAGGAUCCAUGUAUAAUUACUGUAUUUCUAAAACUAUAAUACAAUAAUUUAUUUAUGUCUUACUUCUUCCAUUAACCAUGAUUGCAACAAGAACUACAUCUUGUCAUCUUAUUUUAUCACCAAAACCUAACCCAUAGGUUCUCAAUAAAUAGUUGCAAAGUGAGUAUAUUAAAAAACAGUAAUUAUAGGCCAGGCACGGUGGCUCACACCCGUAAUCCCAGCACUUUGGGAGGCUGAGGUGGGUGGAUCACGAGGUCAGGAAUUCGAGACCAGCCUGACCAACAUGGUCUCUACUAAAAAUACAAAAAUUAGCCAGGCAUGGUGGCGCACGCCUGUAAUCCCAGCUACUCAGGAGGCUGAGGCAGGAGAAUUGCUCGAACCUGGGAGGCAGAGAUUGCAGUGAGCCGAGAUCACGCCACUGCACUCCAGCCUGGGCGAAAGAGCAAGACUCCAUCUCAAAACAAAAACAAAAACAAAAAAACAGUAACAAUUUUCUUGAACUUCUGAGGGUGAUUUCCUUUUCUGAUACAAAGACAUCCAAAGAAAUCUCAGAGAGUCUCUAUUUUAGAAUCAGUAUUAAAUAUAUAUACAUAUAUAUAUGUGUGUGUGACUAUGUCACAAAGUCUCUGAAACACAUAAGUUUAAUCUCAAAAACUAUCUCUACUUGUUUUUUAUUUGUUAGUUUCCUGAUAUAGGUUUGAUUUGGAAUCAAAUAGAAAGGUCAGGCUUUUCCAGACAGACAGGAAAACCAAUAUGAAUUACUGAAUAGAUCCCCUCAACUAGAAAGUCUCUGCUGGAAUGAACUUUGUCUAAUUUUAUCAAGUGCACCAAGAACAGCUUCUUUCAGAAAUUAUCGAGACAGCAUCACCUUUUGAUUCUUUAAUAUCAACAGAUCAAAAAGCAUUUGGUGAUUUCUCUGUAUUUUAUAUCUCUUUGUU
rnacentral:lncRNA from 1 species